GGCUGGCCUGAUGGUAUUAAGUUAUCUCAACUGAUUGUUCAGUCAGUUACAGAUGGAACUCCUUGUUCCACUCUUUCCUCCCCUUCUACUACUACACUUGACUAGUCUUAA
ensembl:misc_RNA Y_RNA Y RNA